AGAGUUUGAUCCUGGCUCAGGAUGAACGCUGGCGGCGUGCUUAACACAUGCAAGUCGAACGGGAAUUACUUUAUUGAAACUUCGGUCGAUUUAAUUUAAUUCUAGUGGCGGACGGGUGAGUAACGCGUGGGUAACCUGCCUUAUACAGGGGGAUAACAGUCAGAAAUGACUGCUAAUACCGCAUAAGCGCACAGAGCUGCAUGGCUCGGUGUGAAAAACUCCGGUGGUAUAAGAUGGACCCGCGUUGGAUUAGCUAGUUGGUGAGGUAACGGCCCACCAAGGCGACGAUCCAUAGCCGGCCUGAGAGGGUGAACGGCCACAUUGGGACCGAGACACGGCCCAGACUCCUACGGGAGGCAGCAGUGGGGAAUAUUGCACAAUGGGGGAAACCCUGAUGCAGCGACGCCGCGUGAAGGAAGAAGUAUCUCGGUAUGUAAACUUCUAUCAGCAGGGAAGAAAAUGACGGUACCUGACUAAGAAGCCCCGGCUAACUACGUGCCAGCAGCCGCGGUAAUACGUAGGGGGCAAGCGUUAUCCGGAUUUACUGGGUGUAAAGGGAGCGUAGACGGAUGGACAAGUCUGAUGUGAAAGGCUGGGGCUCAACCCCGGGACUGCAUUGGAAACUGCCCGUCUUGAGUGCCGGAGAGGUAAGCGGAAUUCCUAGUGUAGCGGUGAAAUGCGUAGAUAUUAGGAGGAACACCAGUGGCGAAGGCGGCUUACUGGACGGUAACUGACGUUGAGGCUCGAAAGCGUGGGGAGCAAACAGGAUUAGAUACCCUGGUAGUCCACGCGGUAAACGAU
rnacentral:rRNA from 1 species